rnacentral:rRNA from 1 species
UACGUAGGGUGCAAGCGUUGUCCGGAAUUAUUGGGCGUAAAGAGCUCGUAGGCGGUCUGUCGCGUCGGAUGUGAAAAUCCAGGGCUUAACCCUGGACCUGCAUUCGAUACGGGCAGACUAGAGUUCGGUAGGGGAGUCUGGAAUUCCUGGUGUAGCGGUGAAAUGCGCAGAUAUCAGGAGGAACACCGGUGGCGAAGGCGGGACUCUGGGCCGAUACUGACGCUGAGGAGCGAAAGCGUGGGGAGCGAACAGG